UUUUUGGUCAACCGUCGUUUUCGCGUAAACAGUUCUACUGGCUUCAGUUGACAAACGCAUUUUGGCGUCAACGAAAAGUUGAAGUUGAAAUGAAAAAGUUGAACUUUGUCAACGGUGGUCUGGAGCACCGUUGAGCUGUAGUUCAACUAUAAAGUUGAUGUAUUUCUUAUGUCUGUUUACAUGUGAUUAAAAAUACAUAUGACAACCCUGUUUUUUAGCAUAAAUUAUAGUUCUGUUUUCUUGUAAGAUAGACAUGAUUCCCAUUAUUUUGAAAUAUUGAGAAGUAAAUAAAAUGGCAAAUAACGUGGAAAACGGGGAUUUAAACAAUUUAUCAAAGAACGAAUGCUGGAAUGGCAAGAAGACAGCAAUCCAAGUUAAAAUUGAUUGCGAGGCAACAGAAUUAUUUUUAACUUUAUUAGAGGAUAAUUGGGAGUCCCUAAACGAUUCCAAAACAAGUAAGAAUCAAAUUUGGAAACAAAUUGCAGAUGGGUUAGAGGAAGUUUUCAUUGUUCGAGGACAGGACAAAGGGAAUACAUGCAAGACCAAGUGGGAAAACAUGCGUAAAGAAUACAGGUCUUAUCUAUCAAAAUUCCAAACUGGAAGUGCAGCCUCCGACACCAAAAAAAAACCCCAAGUUCUUUGAUUACAUUGAAAAAAUUAUUGGUUCCAAUAAUCAUUCAUACAAGCCAAAUAUCACCUUGCUGUAUGCAUAUGUUUUGUAACACACAACAAGUAACAACAAUAUUGAUUCCUUUUUCAAUACUUGUGUUAAUAUCCAGACAUCUUUUGAAUAUAUUUUUCACAUCUCCAAAA